rnacentral:rRNA from 1 species
ACACAUGCAGUCGAGCGCGCCUUCGGGUGAGCGGCGGACGGGUUAGUAACGCGUGGGAACGUACCCUUUUGUUGAGGAUAGCCCCGGGAAACUGGGAGUAAUACUCGAUACGCCCUUUGGGGGAAGGAAGGAUCGGCCCGCGUUAGAUUAGGUAGUUGGUGAGGUAACGGCUCACCAAGCCUACGAUCUAUAGCUGGUUUGAGAGGAUGAUCAGCAACACUGGGACUGAGACACGGCCCAGACUCCUACGGGAGGCAGCAGUGGGGAAUCUUGGACAAUGGGCGCAAGCCUGAUCCAGCCAUGCCGCGUGAGUGAUGAAGGCCUUAGGGUCGUAAAGCUCUUUCGCUAGGGAAGAUAAUGACGGUACCUAGUAAAGAAACCCCGGCUAACUCCGUGCCAGCAGCCGCGGUAAUACGGAGGGGGUUAGCGUUGUUCGGAAUUACUGGGCGUAAAGCGUACGUAGGCGGACUAGUCAGUCAGAGGUGAAAUCCCAGGGCUCAACCCUGGAACUGCCUUUGAUACUGCUAGUCUUGAGUUCGAGAGAGGUGAGUGGAAUUCCGAGUGUAGAGGUGAAAUUCGUAGAUAUUCGGAGGAACACCAGUGGCGAAGGCGGCUCACUGGCUCGAUACUGACGCUGAGGUACGAAAGUGUGGGGAGCAAACAGGAUUAGAUACCCUGGUAGUCCACACCGUAAACGAUGAAUGCCAGACGUCGGGUAGCAUGCUAUUCGGUGUCACA